GUACGGGAGGCAGCAGUAGGGAAUUUUGGACAAUGGGCGAAAGCCUGAUCCAGCCAUUCCGCGUGCAGGAUGAAGGCCCUCGGGUUGUAAACUGCUUUUGUACGGAACGAAACGGCGAGCUCUAAUACAGCUUGCUAAUGACGGUACCGUAAGAAUAAGCACCGGCUAACUACGUGCCAGCAGCCGCGGUAAUACGUAGGGUGCAAGCGUUAAUCGGAAUUACUGGGCGUAAAGCGUGCGCAGGCGGUCAUAUAAGACAGAUGUGAGAUCCCCGGGCUCAACCUGGGAACUGCAUUUGUGACUGUAUGGCUAGAGUACGGCAGAGGGGGAUGGAAUUCCGCGUGUAGCAGUGAAAUGCGUAGAUAUGCGGAGGAACACCGAUGGCGAAGGCAAUCCCCUGGGCCUGUACUGACGCUCAUGCACGAAAGCGUGGGGAGCAAACAGGAUUAGAUACCCGGGUA
rnacentral:rRNA from 1 species